rnacentral:lncRNA from 13 species
ACACACACACACACACCUACACAUUCACACACACACACACACACACACACACCUACACAUUCACACACAGUCUGUGCUACUCAUUAGUGAGGCAUGUCCAGAACCAGCAGCCCCCCAUGUGGAGAUGCCUGCUGCUUCAGAGACACCAGGAGGAGGAGGAGGAGUCCACAGUCCUCUAGCCUUUCAGUCCCUGUCUCAAUCAACACCUCCUCCUCUUCUUCCUCCUCCUCCUCCUCUUCGUCCUUCUCAUCUUCAUCAUCAUCAUCUUUGUCAUCCUCUUCUUCUUCCCCCUAAUCCUCUUCGUCCUUCUCAUCUUCAUCAUCAUCAUCUUUGUCAUCCUCUUCUUCUUCCCCCUCCUACUCCUCCUCUUCCUCUUCUUAAUCAUUAUCAUCCUCCUUUCAUCCCCAUCUUUAUCCUGGGUUCUGGCUACAUGCUUAUAGGUUNNNNNNNNNNACUGUUUUCACAGUACAGUACAGUACAGAGGGGUUGUCUAGACGGUUUUCACAGUACAGUACAGAGGGGUUGUCUAGACUGUUUUCACAGUACAGUACAGAGGGGUUGUCUAGACUGUUUUCACAGUACAGUACAGAGGGGUUGUCUAGACUGUUUUCACAGUACAGUACAGUACAGAGGGGUUGUCUAGACUGUUUUCACAGUACAGUACAGUACAGAGGAGUUGUCUAGACGGUUUUCACAGUACAGUACAGAGGGGUUGUCUAGACUGUUUUCACAGUACAGUACAGAGGGGUUGUCUAGACUGUUUUCACAAUACAGUACUAGAGGUCGACCGAUAAAUCGGAAUGGCCGAUUAAUUAGGGACGAUUUCAAGUUUUCAUAACAAUCGGAAAUCGGUAUUUUUGGACACCGAUUUGGCCGAUUUAAAAAAAUAUAUGUUUAUUUAUUUAUUUAUUUAAUCUUUAUUUAACUAGGCAAGUCAGUUAAGAACACAUUCUUAUUUUCAAAGACGGCCUAAGAAUGGUGGGUUAACUGCCUCGUUCAGGGGCAGAACGACAGCUCGGGGGAUUCAAUCUUGCAACCUUACAGUUAACUAGUCUAACGUUCUAACCACCUGCCUCUAAUUGCACUCCACGAGGAGACUGCCUGUUACGCAAAUGCAGUAAGCCAAGGUAAGUUGCUAGCUAGCAUUAAACUUAUCUUAUAAAAAACAAUCAAUCAAUCUAUCAUAAUCACUAGUUAACUACACAUGGUUGAUGAUAUUACUAGUUUAUCUAGCGUUACCUGCGUUGCAUAUAAUCGAUGCGGUGCGUAUCGUUGCUCAAUGCUUUUCUUAAAAUCAAUACACAGAAGUAUAUAUUUUUAAAUCUGCAUAUUUAGCUAAAAUAAAUCCAGUUUAGCAGGCAAUAUUAACCAGGUGAAAUGGUGUCAUUUCUCUUGCGUUCAUUGCAGGCAGAGUCAGGGUAUAUGCAACAGUUUGGGCUGCCUGGCUCAUUGCGAACUAAUUUGCCAGAAUGUUUUUGAGAUGAUAGUUUCCGGAUUUGACCAUAUUAAUGACUUAAGGCUCGUAUUGCCGUGUGUUAUUAUGUUAUAAUUAAGUCUAUGAUUUGAUAGAGCAGUCUGACUGAGCGGUGGUAGGCACCAGCAGGCUCGUAAGCAUUCAUUCAAACAGCACUUUUGUGCGUUUUGCCAGCAGCUUUUCGUUGUUCGUCAAGCAUUGCGCUGUUUAUGACUUCAAGCCUAUCAACUCCCGAGAUGAGGCUGGUGUAACCGAUGUGAAAUGGCUAGCUAGUUAGGGGUGUGUGCGCUAAUAGCGUUUCAAAACAUCACUCGCUCUGAGACUUGGAGUAGUUGUUCCCCUUGCUCUGCAUGGGUAACGCUGGUUCGUUGUGUUCCUGGAUCGAGCCCAGGGAGGAGCGGGAGGAGCGAGGAGAGGGGCGGAAGCUAUACUGUUACACUGGCAAUACUAAAGUGCCUAUAAGAACAUCCAAAGGUAUAUGAAAUACAAAUGGUAUAGAGGGAAAUAGUCCUAUAAUUCCUAUAAUAACUCCAACCUAAAACUUCUUACUAUUGAAGACUCAUAUUAAAAGGAACCACCAGCUUUCAUAUGUUCUCAUGUUCUGAGCAAGGAACUUAAACAUUAGCUUUCUUACAUGNNNNNNNNNNAUCUUUAUUUAACUAGGCAAGUCAGUUAAGAACACAUUCUUAUUUUCAAAGACGGCCUAAGAAUGGUGGGUUAACUGCCUCGUUCAGGGGCAGAACGACAGCUCGGGGGAUUCAAUCUUGCAACCUUACAGUUAACUAGUCUAACGUUCUAACCACCUGCCUCUAAUUGCACUCCACGAGGAGACUGCCUGUUACGCAAAUGCAGUAAGCCAAGGUAAGUUGCUAGCUAGCAUUAAACUUAUC